rnacentral:misc_RNA from 1 species
GCUUAUAGCAUUUUUACCAUGAAAAACAAGGUAGGCGGAUGUAGAUGUUUUGUCAUCCAAAUUUCCUACCCAGUCAGCAUUGGAAUAAACCCGUAGGGAAUGAUCUUGAUUUGGAAUGAUCAGCAGACCGUGAGUGAUUGUGUCUUUGAGAUACCGUAAUACCCUUUUUGCAGCCUUGAAAUGAUUGAUGGAUGGGCGAUGCAUUAAUUGAGCUAGCUUAUUAAUGGUGAAAGAAAGAUCUAGUCUGGUCAACUGAAGAUACUGAAGUGCUACUAUCUGUUGGUACUCUUUGAUGUUUGUGAGAGGCACACCAUCAUUGAGAGAUAAAGACUCAGUAAGAGACAUGGGUGUGGAGACCCCUUUGGCACCUAGCAUAGAGAAUCGUUCCAGGAGAUUGGAAAUAAAUUUGUGUUGUGUAAGCAUUAAACCAUUGGAGAUAGGUGUGACUUCGACUCCCAGAAAAUAAUGGAGCAUGCCUAAGUCCUUUACUGAGAACCGUUGGGACAGCCGUUUAAUGACGAAAUUGACGGAACUAAUAGAGUUGCAAGUCACUACGAUGUCAUCUACAUAAACCAAGACAAAUAUAACUUUAUUAGUUGAACAAGUGAUGAAAAGAGAAUUGUCCGAGUAUGCUCAUUGAAACCCGCAAGAGAGCAAGAACUGACGAAGCUCAUUGUACCAAGCACGGGGAGCUUAUCGAAGAUCAUAGAUGGAUUUCUUCAAUUUACAAACAUAAAGAGGCUUAUGUUCGUCUUUAAACCCCUUCGGUUGGUGCAUGUAAACUAUCUUAGUAAGAGUUCCCUGCAAGAAAGUGUUAAUUACAUCCAAUUGGCACAAUGGCCAUUUAUAUGUCACAGCCAAAGAGAGAAUGAGCCUGAUUGUCGUGUGUUUGAUGACUGGACUGCUGUAAGUAACCUUUUGCUACUGAUCAGGCUUUGUAACGCUCAAUUGUCCCGUCAGGCUUAUGUUUUACCUUGUACACCCAUUUACAUGAGAUCACGUUUUGAGCAGGGAAAGGUGGAACUAAGUCCCAUGUAGGGUUUCUGCACAAAGCAUCAUACUCUUCAUGCAUGGCUUGGCACCUCAAGAUACUUGGCAGCUUGACGAUAAGUAGCAGGGGCUAAAGGUAUCUGAGAUGUGGAUUUGAGAGCUAGGCAAUCAAAGAUUUGUUUGGGUUUGUAGAUAUUAUUUUAUGAUCUGGUGAUAAUGCGAGGAGGUGGGGGAGUGCAGGGUGAUGUGGACGUGGUUUUAUUAGAGUCUUCAGGAGAUGAUGUAGUCAAAGAGGAUGACUGAACUAUGGGUCUAACAGGGGAUGGUGGUGCUAUAUUGUUAGACAACAAGGGUGAGACAUCAUUAGCAGAAGAAGUGACUGAAGUCUCAGUUGAACAACGUACUUGAGGCGGGCAAGGAAGGACUUCUGUGGGUGGCAAGUAAGAGUGACAACUAUGAGUUGCCAGUGUUAUGGGAGCAAUGAUAAAGUUAGGUAGAGAUGCUGAUUCAGGAGCUGAUGGUGAUGUAGGUUUGGAGGGGGUGAACCAAGAAGUCAAAGAGGUAGAAGAAACACGUGGUAACUGCAAUUAGUUUUCUCCAAAGGGAAAGCAAUCCUCAACAAAGACAACGUGGCGAGAAAUAAAAAUCUUAGUGCUUCAAAUGUCAUAACAGACAUAGCUGUUGGUGGCAGAGGAGUAUCCCAUGAAAACACAAGGAUGAGAUUUUGCUUGCAGUUUGUGUGCAGUGUAAGGUCGGGGCCAAGGCUAGCAGAGACAUCCAAAAACUUUAAGUUUAUCAGGAUUGUGUUUGUGAUGAAACAAAGUUUCAAAUUAUUUUGAAGUCUUAUUGUGGGCAGUCGAUUAAUGAGGUAUGCGGCUGUUUUGGCAAGCUAAAGACCAAAAUUUAAGAGGGACAGAGGCAUGAUGAAGCAAGAUGAGCAUAGUAAAUUAAUUCCAAAGGCCUUGUACUAGUAAUGGAUGUGGCACCAAAAGGAAAAUGGUGGCUCUCAUUACACAAGCAUGAAUUGCAAAAAGUAAAGGUGCUGUCAAUUGCAACUGGCAACUGAAAAGAGGAAACUAAGGCUUUGGUUUUUUUUAAUUGAGGAUGACCAAAGCGAGAAUGCCAAAGAUGACAAGUAGACUUCAGUGGAGCAGCAAAAUGUGAUGUAGGCUGGUUGGUGAAGGGAUGUACAACAGCUUCAGGAUAUGGCCACUCAUAGAGGUCUCCCUUGUUUUGUCUCCGGUGAAGAAGUGCCCCCGUGGUUAAAUCCUUCACAAGAUAGUACAAAGGAAAAAAUUCAACAGAUGUAUUAUUUUGAUGACAAAAUUGUGCUAUUGAAAUGAGAUUACGGCUAAUAUUUGUGGAGCACAGGACAUUUUUUAAGGUAAAAGUAGUAGGUGAUAAGUGAGAAGGAAGAGUGGCGUGACCAACAUGAGUGAUAGGUAUACCAUUGCCAUCUCCAAGAAUAAUUUCAUCAUUGCCUGAAAAAUCUGAUGUGGAUACCAAGUUAUUGGGAUCAUCUGUCAUAUGAUGAGAUGUGCCCGAAUCAAGAAUCCAGGAGUUAUUAGUGUUGGCAUGAUGGGCAGCAUAGUUUGCUCUCGCUUCCUACAAAUCAUGUCCUUUAGAUCGACAUACCUUAGCCACAUGGCCAUACCUGUCACAAAGUUGGCACUGAACUUGUUGUUGUCCUCUAUGUCACUGCUGAAAUUGUCCUUGGCGUUGCUGAUUUGACAUGCUAAAGACACUAAUUUGCUGUUGAGUUUGGCGAUUACUAGUGUUGGGUGAGCAAAAGUUGUUGGAUCCUCACUGAUUAAAUUGAGCUAUUAUGAUAGGAACCUCCUUCUUUGGUUCAAUUUGCUGCAAAAAAAGUUCAUGAGCAAGGAGUUUGUCAUAUAGUUCUGCAAAAGUGAUAGGUGUAUCCCUAACACAUAUAGCUGCCGAAAACUCCUUGAAAUCAGAACCAAGGCUGCUUAAGACCUUGAUAACAAGUUCUUCAUUAUUCACGGGUGAACCACUGGAGGAGAGAUCAUCAGCUAUCAUUUUAAUCUCCCUCAUAUAAUUUGUAGUAGAUUUAUCUCCU